CACACUUCGGAAGAAACCAUUCUAGAAUCUUUUACACAUGUGAGGAGGGCUCGGCGUAGGGAGGAAAGCCCAUUCCUGCCGAGUUCCUCUCUCUCUCCCUCUCUCCCUCUCUCUCUCUCUCUCUGGCUCCUGUACGAGGCGAGCUGAACAGCAGCCCUCCACACUGCUCCUCAGCCUCUGUCGCUGAGCGCAGGCGAACUGCCGAGGCAGCGUUAUAGCAUCUUCUAGUGAUGACCAGUGCAGAGGGGGCCUCCUGCUGCUCUGAGCUCUGUGCAUAGUGGGGAGGGGGGGGGGGGAACAGCCAGCUCCUCCUCGGCCCAGGACCGGUCCACCAGCAUAAUGUACAGCGUGGAGGACCUGCUCAUCUCUCAUGGAUACAAGCUUCCCAGGAAUGCCCCUCCUUCCUCCUCGUCUUCCUCAUCCUGCGAGGCCGCGCAGGCCAACGGGCGGGAGGCCUACGUGGCCCGCGGAGGGGGGGGGCGGCCCCCCCCGGCCAAGAGCUGCCCCGGCCCGGCGGGGAGAGCCGCGGGGGCCGGCGUCUGCGGCGACGGUAACCAAGGCGACACGCGGCAACAGCGUCCAGGCACCCUCCACAGCAGCUCGGACAGUGGGUUUUUCAAUGGAACCAGAGAGCUGUACUCCCACCAGCAGAGGGAGCCGGAGAGGGAGGAGCGAGACAUGUUCUACUGGCGGAGGAGGGGCCACGACUUCAGCCUCUUGCUGGACUACGCCGACGGCCGAGAGCUGAGGGCUGCGGCGGGGGGGCUGGGCAGGGCGGAGGGGGCGCGGAGAGCGCAGGCGGCGGCCCCGCCCCAGGAGGAGCGCCGGGCGGACAGGCAGCGCUGGGACGAGAGCGCGUGGCUGCGGGUUCGGGACGCGGCGCAGGGGCAGUGGCGGGCGGUGGGGGUGUCGGCGGCGGCGGGAGACAGGAAGUGCCAGAGCCUGGGCACGGAGGAGUGGCGGCCGGCGCUGGGGCUGGGCAGGCACCUGUCUGACGGCGAGGGCAAGCUGUGGGCCCAGGAGCAGGCCUACCGAGCCCCUGCCGAGGGUGCCGUCCACCCCAGGACCAAAGGGAAGUCGCAGUCCCUUCCCAGGGUGCUGUCCCCGGAGAGCUUCCAGCAGGCCCACACACCCGCCUCUCUCCUGGACGGGUACCCGGGCCAUCGGCUCAACGGCCCCACCUCCCACGUACCUCACGCCAAACACCGCUACCCCCCUUACCACUACCACUACCACUACCACCACAACAGCAACGUGGCGGGCAGCAGGGAUCCCUGGAUGGAGAGCAGCAGCGGCGGCAGCAGCAGGAUAAGUCAACACAUGGCACUUUUACCAAAGCCCAGGUUCAGCAGGCCCCUCAAGCCUCCCUCCUACGAGGCUCACCAGCAGACGAGGGGCAGCACCGAGAUGCUUGCUGGAGAUCAGGUACCCAAGUCGAAAGACGGGGAGGCGGCAAGUUCCUCCGAGGGAGGGGGGCCAAUGGGGAGGGACUCCUUUGCACACGAUGCCGCCGCAGGGUCCGGGGCGGAGCCUCCGGGGUACAUACCUCCUCCGUCCUACAAAAGACCCUUCCUCUACAGGGGAGGACAGAGGGGCAACUGCGAAGCACUGAGUCUCCAGUUCCAGGGCGAAGAGGUCAAGGAGCAGGUGCCAGGGAGCACGGAAUUAGGGAGGUGGUAUUCCAGGCAUGUGGGAAGCUCCUGGCUAGAACAUCAGAGGGACAGGAGCGCCCCCUGCAGGGAACCAACAUUCCCCGGUCGCCCGGAAGAGGAGGCCGAAGAGGGACCCUUGGGACCCGUUCAGUACCUGCCCUUCGACGACCCGCGCGUGAGGCAUAUCUCAGGAGGAUCCUGCGGAAACUCUCUGGUCGAAUUGGACGAAAUCAGGAGCGUUGACAAAGAGGUCCCCAGCGCUAAUGUUUUAGGACAAUCUACACAUGACAGUGCCUUUCUCCCUCCGCAGGAGCUAAUAUUACCCAACACGGACGCUAGCGAAACGUCUCUCAGCGAGCGGGACGGCGGCAACAGGCAGCAUAGCGAUUUGCACAAGGGGAGCGACGAUUCCGCGGUCUCUGACGUCAAAGGCGUCGAGUGCCCCUCAGCUUUCCUGGUCAAGCCAAUCUGGCAGAACCGAAACCCGGACCGGGGCGUCCCUCCGGAGACGGUGACCCAAGUGAAAACGAUCGAGCCGGGCGGAGCCGAGACGGAGAAGAGCAAGAGCGCCAAGAGGAAACUCACCGAGACGAUAUUCUGCCUGGUCUCCAUCCCCAUCCGCACGCCGUCGGUCGCGGACGACGCCGAGCAGGCCGACCGCGAGAAGCCGACGGACCUGGCGCAAGGCUCGGACGAGGACGGAUCGGGCCACCUGCAAAACCAAAGUCUCCUAAGCACAUCGUCCACGGACCUGGAGCUCCAGGCGCUCACCGGGGGCAUGAAGAGCAACAGAGGCCCCAAAAAACACCCCGUCCUGGGGAAGGAGGUCCACCCCCUCCACCCCGGCCAUGACCUCAGCUCUGGGUCCUGGCCCGGCGAUCAGUACAGGGAUCAGGAGACCCAGACCUGCUCCCCUGAGGUCCCCCGGGCUCCCCCGCAGGGCCUCGCAGACCAGCAAGCACAAGACCAGCCUCGCUCGGCCUCAGACACCACCACCGACAGCGGGGUGGGCACCGACUGCAGCAACCGCUACGGGUACCCGAUGAAAGGUCAGAAGAACCUGAACCAGUCCAGCAACAGCGCCUUCUCCAGGACCUCCAACUUCGCCUCCGGCCCGCUUCAGAAGAGCACAGCUCAGUCGCCGCCGCCGCCGCCGCCCCCACAACCACAACCCUCAGGAAACCGGGAGGAGCCGGACUGCCUUCCGGUCCAGAAAGGCCAGAACCAGAGCCGGGGCAAGCCGCCGUCUGCCGGUUCCGGUCCGGAAGCCUUUGGCCAGUUCCUGCUGAAACCUAUCAGCCGCCGCCCGUGGGAUGCCAUCGAGGAGCUGGAGUCCUUCAACAAGGAGCUGCAGCAGCAGAUCAUCAAAGGGUCCAGUGUGGACCAGUGCAUCGAGGACCUGGACGAGGCCUACAGGGACAUCCUGGAGCUGGAAACAGUCAGCAAUAACAUCAUCGAAACGGUGCAGAUCCCUGAACGCCAAAAGGCCGACCCCGACCAAGCCCCCCCGGGCGAGCCCCUGGGCAGGACGGAGAAGGCCAGGCGCGCACUGGAAAGCUGGACGGCCACGGCGGACCCCACCUACAGGGAGGUGAAGAGCGCUUUCUCCAGGCCGGCUGGGAAGUCCGUCAGCUUCAGCUUCAGCAAGCCGCCAAAAAGAGAAGAGGCGCCGCCCCCCCCGGAGUUCGGCUUCAGAGAGUACGCCUCCGUCUCCUCUCAGAUCACGGAGAAGCCGGCAGGAGGAUGCCGCUGUGGCAAUGCCGCGAACGCGGACGCGUUCGCCCCGAAGGAGUCCUGGAACGAGGACGAGGCGGACCGGCCCGAGCGCACCCCUGUGGAGGCGCCGUGGGCCGCCCGGCAGCCGAUGCAGGACGCUUCCACGCUGACCAGCCCCCCCGACUACGAGGACGUGUGCCACGCCUUGCAGCUGACCCGCGAGCCGACGGUGGGCGUCAGCCGGGGCGUUACCGCCAAGCUCGGGAGCGCCGGCGCCUCGGCUCUUCCCCAGACCCCCUCGUUCAAGGUGGUCACGUUCGCCGCGCUCGGCACCCAGCAGGACGGCCCUCCCUCUCUGGCCGAGGCCCUGAGGGACGCGAAGAAGGAGAGGAACUCGCUGCCCAGGUUCAGGGGCGAGAGAAGCCUGAACGUGCUCUUGGUCAGAAACCAGAGGGACAGGUUCCGAGGUCGAGGGGCGUCCCGGUGCAUCGUGGGAAAGGACGGAGACGCCGCGGCGGCGGCGGCCUCCUCCUCCCCCUCCUCCUCCUCCUCCUCCUCCUCCUCUGAGGAUGAUUACCACAACAAUGACCCCGACAAGCGUUUUGAUUCCAGGAAGCAGCAGACGGUCGCAGAGAAGCAGCGGGAGGUCCUCUCGACGGACGAGAAGUCCGACGGCGGCGCGCCCGCAGAGGACCUGAGCAACCUCUGCGAGGUGAAGUGCGCCAAGGGCAUCCCCGAGAAUGAGUCCAUAGAGGAGAGGGCAGCCAGGAUCUUAGGAAUCAACGUGCCAGCGGAGUCUCUAGGCAAGGUGGAGCAGAAGGGAGGAGGAGAGCAACUGCUGGAGUUCGAGAUGGGAGGCACGGUGGAGCGCAGGCAUAUCUCGCUGAUCGGGAUGACGAAAUUCGGCAGCACCGAAAGGAUGCCGCACGUGUUGUGGCGGCGUCGCCACAAGGAAGCGGACAUCGACGUCAACGUGGCGCUGGACCCGCAGGACAAAGAGACGGGCGGGGCGACGGGACGGGGAGGGAGCGGCUCGGAGAACCACCCGGGGCCGGCCUCGGGGUUCCCGGAGUUCCCCGGCGAGAGGCUGAGGCUGUCGGUGGCCCUGGACAGGAGGGGGGGGCGUGGCCGCGGGCGGGGCCCCUCCCGCGCCAUCGAGGCCCUGCAGGACAGGCUGGCCGCGCCCUCGUGCCGGGCGGCGGCGGAGAGGCUCGCCCGGAUGCGGGAGGUGGACUCGGUGUCUCGGAUGAGGCGCCUCAGCGCCCGGAGCUCGGAUUCGGGGGACGAGCCCGAGGACGGCGGGGCGGCGGCGGCGGCGGCGGCGGCCUACGGCGCCCCCCGCUCGGCGGACCGCCCCCUCUCUCUCCCCCUGCCCCUCCCCCUCCCCUUCCCCCGCCCCCUCUCUCUCUGCCUCUCUGCAAAGCAGGAGUCUCACCACCACGCCGCCACCGUCGCCAGGAGGGAGAUCACCCGGCCCCUGGGGCUCUGUGCCCCCCCCAGCAGGACUCUGCCGCAGGACGAGGGCACGGUGCCACCCCCAGGUGAGCAGCGCUCGGGUUGUCUGCGCCCCCCCAGGAGGGCGUGAGGGCGGUUCUACUUCCAUAGAACCAAUAGAACCACAGCAGAACACAGACAAAAAUAGAGAGUAACAGAAUUAACCUCGGGUUUUACGAUCAAUGGGUUAAUGGGGUUAUUCGGAUUUCAGUCAACAUUUUUUGGCUUUAUUAUUAUUAUUAUUAUUAUUAUUAUUAUUAUUACUGUGGUGUAUAAAAAUAAGUACUAAAAUACUAAGUAAAAAAAGAUGUGCCUUUACAAACAGUAAUGCAUGGAAAGUUGGUGUUCAUUAGUGUAACUUUCAUGUUUACUGUAAAUGUAGUACACAGAAAAGAACAAGAACAUUCAUACUUUUGCUGAAAUAAUAUUUUUUAAAUGAUAAUUUUGUGCGAUAUUUGCUGUUUUCACUCUUCUUAUUUAAGCUCAGGACAGGUGAAGGCAUCUGACAUCAAACUACUGAGUGAACAUCCAGAAAUCAGCUGGUUGAUCACUACGACCCCAGCCGAGUGGAGAGGGUGUAGACCCCCAGAUUGUAACCUUUGCCUAAGACUCGGCUCCAACACUGUGACCCUGGUCUCCCGCUGCGAACCUUCAUCUCAUCCAACCGCCCCCCCCUCGGCCCCCCCGCCCAGCCCCACCACAGCAAUGGCCUUUCUCUUGGACACAAGCAUUGUUUACACGGUCAUCUGGUGUUGCGCAGAAAGAGCUGUCCUACUGCCAAAGGGAAGUGCCCCCAACCGCCCCCCCCCCCCU